AGUAGGCUAACCAGCGCCGAAUGCCGUGCGUGCGUUAUUUACUGCGUUGUUCGCUCGCGUAGUUUUUAUAAAUAAUUCACUGCCGACGCUACUGACUGUAAAUCGCGGAUUCAUAGGGAAUAACUAAUGAAGAGCUUAAUCGAACGUGUCAUCGCGCUUUACUUUAUUUGGAUAUGUCCGGGAAGGUUCGCGCUUCCUUUCUUCGGCGAGAUUUGAAAUGAAACUGCGCUGCCAUCAUGGCUGCGAAUGAUUCGUCUGUUGCAGCCGGAUUGGCGGGUUUUACCGCGUGUAUUAACGAAGAAAAAUUUUGUCGAACCGUCAGUUUUACGCGCUAUUGUAAAAGCGCGCAAUUAAGCGCGCUUAUCUUAUAUUACUGAUAAAAAUCAAACAAUGAUCCUCACAUAAUAUUAUUAUUGUUUCAAAUACGAAAACAUGUUAAAUUUUACGGACAAUAAAAUUUUGUACAGGA